GUGCUCUCGCGAUAUCUGGCUCCUGGGGGUUUCUCCAUUGGUGCUGCUGCCGUGACGACGUGCUAGGAAGGCUGUGAGGAGCCUCGCUGGCCCCAGGAAGAGGUUUGGGGAGGAUAUUCCUAGCAGCUGCCUAAAGCAUUGGUUUCGGGGGUCCUUCCUGCUUCUCCUCUGCUCAGCACUGGCUGCCCAUAUGUGCUUUUCCUUGGUGGAAUGAGAAGACACCUCUGGACAAGCUGACGAGCUCCCAGACCCAGUAAGUUCAGCAAUGUGCGCCUGGCAACUUCUCUUUUGAGCUCGAAGUGCUAUGUGGAUGUUUUGCCAGUUGGUUCUGACGUGUUUCUGAUGCGGAGGCCCAUUUGUAUUGGGAAGUACACUUAGAGAACACUGGCUAGAUGAAAUGCUGUUUUCAGAAUUUUGACUGCAAAGAGAACAAAAAUAUGCCUAGGAGAAAGCUUGAAGUUAACUCUUAAAUCAUGUCCUUGAAAUGUUAAUACAAACACAGUCCACUCCUAAGAAUUUAGCUUUAGGUUAAUUGGUAGAACUUCAAGAAAAGCGGAAAAAAGGUGGGGGGAGAAGCCUUGUAAACCCAAGUGAGUAAAUUCAGUUUAUUCCAACUAUUAUUUAUAAACUGAUAACUUCUCUAUUGAAAUAUCUGAUUUGAGAUCUCUGUCUGAAUAUUAUACAUCUAUAUGUAACAUUGUCCAAAAUGAAAUCAAAAGCUUUCGGAUAAACUCUUUGAAAAUAAUUAUGUUUCAGGAAUGUCUACCUAAAAACAGCUUUUCAAGAUUUUUGGUGACUUAAAACCUUACAGUUUUUUUUAAGUUAAACUAUGAAAACUAAUUGAAUAUCUAAAUAAUUUUUAAGAUAAAAUACUGAAACUUUGCUGAACAAAUGUAAGUUUGCCUACUUUUGCCUUCUUGGGUGUUUAAGUCUCUUCAGUCAUUUCAGAUCCAUACGGACUGUAGCCCGCCAGGCUCCUCUGUCCACGGACUCUCCAGGCAAGAAUACUGGAGUGGGUUGCCAUGCCCUCCUCCAGGGGAUCAUCCCCAUCCAGUGAUCGAACCCAUGUCUCAUGUCUCCAGCAUUGAAAUAGAGAAAAAAGAAGACCAUAUGAAGACAUAGCAAUGGUGAGACACAUCGAAAAAAUACCAUGCUGAGGAUGCAAGCAGAGAUUGGAGUAAUGUAUCAACACAGCAGGGAACACUAGGGGUUGCUGACAACUGCCACCAACUAGGAGCAGACAAGGAAGGGCUCUCCCUACUGCCUGCAUGGCCCUGCCAGCACCUGACUUCAGACUUCUGGCCUCUGGCCUUCUGAUGAAUUCUCUACAGUGAGAGAAUAAAGUUCUGUUAUUUUAAGCCACCAAAAAUAAAAUAAGAUUAAAAAAUAUAUAAAAUUAAAUAGAGAAGAUAAAAUGUAAACUAACAAAAUAUAAAUAAAAAUAGAAGCAAAAUAAAAUACUAAUGAAGCAGUCAUAUAGCCAUCAGUAGUAUUCAUCUUUACAUGCAUAGUUAUGUGGUCAACCAGUUGCUCUCAGAAAUUAUGAACUAUGAAAAGAACAAAUCAGCUGUCCAUAUUUAGGCAAUUAAUGUGUCCAAGUGGAGGCUUGUCCUGUUCAAAUCAAAAUAUCUACUUGGAAAUAUAAAAAUGUUAUUGAAGCUCCUUUUGGAAAUCAAGGCCUAGGGUGAGAAUGUGGGAAUGAGAGUCAGACUUUCUGUCUUGCAGAGG
ensembl:lncRNA